UACAGAGGGUGCGAGCGUUAAUCGGAAUUACUGGGCGUAAAGCGUGCGUAGACGGUUAUUUAAGUCGGGUGUGAAAGCCCCGGGCUCAACCUGGGAAUUACAUUCGAGACUGAAUAGCUAGGGUACGGUAGAGGGAAGCGGAAUUUCCGGUGUAGCGGUGAAAUGCGUAGAUAUCGGAAGGAACAUCAGUGGCGAAAGCGGCUUCCUGGACCAGUACCGACGUUCAGGCACGAAAGCGUGGGGAGCAAACAGG
rnacentral:rRNA from 1 species